UACGUAGGGGGCUAGCGUUGUCCGGAAUCAUUGGGCGUAAAGAGCGUGUAGGCGGUCCGGUAAGUCCGUUGUGAAAGUCAGGGGCUCAACCCUUGAAUGCCGGCGGAUACUGUCGGGCUAGAGUCCGGAAGAGGCGAGUGGAAUUCCCGGUGUAGCGGUGAAAUGCGUAGAUAUCUGGAGGAACACCGGUGGCGAAGGCGACAUCCUGGACCGGUAUUGACGCUGAGGCGCGAAAGCCAGGGGAGCAAACGGG
rnacentral:rRNA from 1 species